rnacentral:lncRNA from 1 species
AUAGAAGAGUUUUGUAUUUAAAUUAUUUUCUUAUUGAAUAAUACUUAGUAUUUAGACAAAAUAUAUAUGUUAAAGAGUGAAUUCUCAUUUCUAGUCCCAUUUUAGACGUUUAUCUUCUUCCUCCUUCUUUCAUUCUCUUUAUUCUCCCUUCAUUGUAUGAUCACAAGCGGCAAUGGUUUAAACGUCAAGACUCUCGAGAGGUUUUGAUAUCAUAUCUCAACUUACAAUCUUAAUACAUUAAUUAUUAUGUAUAUAAGUCAUCUAUUU